UCCAACUUUAUGUUUAUACGGACGGAAUAAGAUCGUCUCAAUAAGCAAGGAUAAAACAUUAUAAUGGCAUCAUUUUAUAUUUAAAAAAAAAAGGCGGUUUGUGGACCUCGGUAACUGAACAUGUCAAUAGCGUUAUCUUUCGUUAAAUAGAACCAGAGAAAAUUCAGUAGGAGUCACAAGAAAUGACAAAAAAGCACUUGUUUUUUUUCAUUAAUAUACAGACCGCGUAUUAUAUAGAGUAUCCAAAGGCCUAUUUAAUAUCGGCAUUUCUCACAACCUAUGGUAACUUUAAACCCAAAACAAAACAAUUGGACGAAAUCUCUAUUCCUAACCCGGCAUGAGCAAAUGGCGAGUAGCGGAUCGGAUACACUCCCAAAGAGUGCAUCAAUAUUUGUGCUUUGCGCCACAGGUCACUGUCCAAAAGGCAAAUAUUGUAGAGUGCUUUUUUGAGGGGGCCGGGAUGUGUGUAGGAGCAAAUAAAGGGUAGGCGCUGCUAGUAUCUCGUAACGUGCAAUUUAGCAGAUUGCUUACGUAGUAGGCCGUAGAUGCCCAAUUGAUGAUGCAGCGCCGCGCAGAAUGUCACGUGACAAUAGCGCGCCAUUUAUAAAGAAACCGGGCAAAAACGCGAGAUCAAAAUUCAAACACUGUGCAAUUCGGCAUGAAAUGCAGGCCUUUUUCAUUUUCAACAUAAUAUCCCAAUUUUGUGGGCGAUGGAAGGUAUAUUGAAAAGGAAGCAGAAAUAUUUUAAACGCUAUCUUCUUGAGUUAUAACAGAUACCCUAAAAACAUGCUGGUCAAAUUUAGUUGCUUAUGACUAAAUACAAUUACAUUUUGUGAUGCUUUGAAAAAAGUGCAAGGGAAGUUAUUAUUCGUAAUUUUGUGUAAAUUAAGGAGUGCUGGCAACAUGGAGGCAUGUAGGUCUUGAAAACGGGUAAUUUUCAGCUUUGGUCAUCGCUGUUGGUCUAUAAACGAUAAUAUACGUUGUCAGUCGAAAAAUCGCAGAAGUGAAUAAGAAAUUAAUGAUGAUAUAUCAUGAAUCAGAUUAGAAAAUGACUUUUGAUUUAAGGAAAUUUUUUUAAGUAGAUUUAACGAAUAAAUGUAUUUUGCAUGGGGACCGCUAAACCUCUCUAUGCCCAUUAGCAUUCUGUACAAGUCGUAGGCGUCAGAGAGAUGGUAAUGACACGCAUGAGGUCUGGCUUAUGUGUGGUUCGUUUUAGAAAACCUUACCUAAAAAUUGCAUUUUUAAAAUUUGUAUUAGGGAAACUCUGCAGGUGCAUCCGCGACUCAAAAAAAUAAUUAGAUAGACAAAAUCAGAAAACGUAGGCGUAUAAAAGGGUAAAGGAUAAAGACAAUUUUGCUAACUUUCAUGUGUGGUGGGGUAACAGCAAUCCAAGAUUUGUGAUUUUUCUUAGCAUUCAAUCAACGAAAGCCUCGAUUAUUAACAGAUAUCUCACAAUGCAUUAUAUGACGCCAGCUAUCCUAUUACUAAGUCUUCUGGUUGCAAGCGAGUUAGCUGCCGCCCGACGUUCAUACAGUCACAGCAGCUUCCACCGGUCGGAAUGCAAACCGAGACGCGGACACAUCCAAGUGAAGCAUAAACUCGGCUGCGUCUUCACGUUACCGAGCCAGGGUUGCCACGGGGAGUGCUUGUCGUCAGUAAAACCCUUCGCGCACAAGUCAGGGUUCGCGACGAGCUGCUCGUGUUGUGCACCUAUACAGUACAAGAUACAGAAAGUGGUAGGGCGCUGCAUGGGAAAGCCUGUCACCGUAUACUACCCUGUAGCGCUGAGGUGCGCGUGUAGACCUUGUUGAUGACAGAGAGACGGAGAUAAGCCCUGCAUAUUUAGAUAUGACUCUGAAUUGUUGCCAUGGAGACAGAGAAUAUCAAACGUUCCUGGACUCUACGGAAGUGGCGAAGAGAAGUGGUAUUAUUUAUAUCUGUCAAAAACUCUAGGUCAUGAGAAUUGAUACUAUUUAAUGCCACCAUACAUGUACAUAUUGUAAAGCAUAGAUUAAAUUAUUCACACCAGGUUAAAAAA